GGCCCUGAGGUAACACACGUCAGACUGCAAAUCUGAAGACGGCACUCUGCCCGGGGCUU
rnacentral:tRNA from 1 species